GCCUAGCAGCGCAUUGGGUUUGCGCGUCAGUUUCGUAAUCUGUGGUCGUGAGUUCGAGUCUCAUCUGGGGCA
rfam:Schistosoma haematobium scaffold5_27, whole genome shotgun sequence.